rnacentral:tRNA from 1 species
UGCGGGGUCGUCUAAUGGCAGGACAUGGGCCUUUGAAGCCCAGUAUGAAGGUCCGACUCCUUCCCCCGCAGCCA